AUGAUCCAGCAAAUCCACUCUGACCACACCUCUUCCUUCUUCUUUAUUCAUCCCCUUCCCUUCGACGGCGCCUACGACCACCGGUCUGCUUCCCCGCGUUGCCGGUCGGCCGGCUGUCCCUAGACACCCACGCCCCAUACUUCUUCCACAUGAUUCGAGGCCGAGCGGCCGGAUUGGGUUGUUGAUCGUGCCUCUUCCCCAUGGUUCCUGCAUCGUCCCAGCAUGUCCGGCCGGCGAGAGGGAGUGGCGGCGGGGGAGUGGCGGCCGGCCCGCCAAGCGAGGCCCAGUGGCCGCCUCUGGUCCUCUCGCUGGCCUCCAGUUCCUCUCCUGUCGCCCCUCAGUUCAUGUUGCCCCUACCUCCAUCCGACCAUCCAUGGCUUCCAGCGGCAUCCUGCCUCUCCAGCGACCCAUCUUUGAUGCUCUUUAGCAAUUUCCGUGUGAUUCGUUACAUCCCCGGCCUGUCCGUCCUGCCUACCCGAACAGCCUUUGGUCACCAGUAUGAUUUGGGGACAGGGGCUGCGGAGAUUAAGCUCGCCAUGGGUCAAGGGGAUGAUUUGGGGACAGGGUCUGUGGAGGUUAAGCUCGCCAUUGGUCAGGAUGCCUGCUGGCCCAGCGUGAUGGCCAACAAGCUGGCUCGGUUGCUAGCUUCUUAUCCUCUCUCUAGGUAGUCUGCACUCAAACUGAAGCACAGAGCCCUGCAAAAGUAGAUUACAGUAUUCUGUUUAUGCAUCAGUUACAAGUCGAGCUAAUGCAAAAUUGAUGCAACGUUUAUUUUGUGCGUUCUUGCUUCUACAAGUUCUAAAAAUUGUGUUCAUGGAUCCAGAGCUUCUAAUGUGUGACUUUUCAGUUUUCAGUUGUGAAGAUGGAUGGGGCUGCCCAACAUGAUCCACCGAGGGCGUCCGCGCUGGUGCCACUGGAGAGGCCAGGCUACGGAGUUUUUGGUCCAAUGGCUCGGUCCGCAUGACAGAUCAUAAUUCAGAAAGAGGUACUUCCGAGUUCAGAUGAGGGAUAGCAUGGAUUCCUAGAGGUAUGCAUCCUAUUUGUUUGAUUUUCUGUUCUUCCUUCAAUUUGUGCACUCAAAUUUAAGAAGCAGAUACUUAUCCAGGCAACAACACACAUGUUACAUCUAAGGAACUAUCAAUGACCUAUAUUUAUAUGCAAAUCUGAAUAGAACAUAUUCUUUCCCUUUAUCUAGAAUAAUCUCACAACUAAGUUGAAAGGAAAAUGGUGUUAGUGCAUUAGUGUGGUUAGAUCUUAUGUGUUUUUCAGUCAUUACACAAGCUAUCAUGAAGAUUUGAUUUUUAUGGUUGGAUUUUAUGUACUUUUCAGUGACAAUGCAAAAAUAUUGGUGUCGACUGUAACUGCGUUGGAAUAAAACUCAACCGCGUGAUGAUGCUUAUAACUGCCAUAUGAUUUAAUAUAUAAUUUGUUCUUUUUUCAUGAUGUUACUCAAUUGGUUUCUGUAUUUAUGAAAGGUGCUUCUAACCUUUUGUCGCAUUUGUUCUGUCUGUAUAAAUACGUGAAGUUAUUUCAAGUUUAACGCUUCAGCUUGAGGAUGUCGGUUUGGCCCAGUAGGAGUGUCAACUACUGAAUUUAUUUGUCAGCAUAAACAUGCUAUAGUUGUGUUAUCUAUAUUUUCUAUUACUAACCAUUUCCAUGCUAUGCUAUAGUUAGCCCUCUUUUUUCUACACUUCGUGUUGUUAUAUAGAGUUGUGCUGAAGACUAUUCUUGGUACCUUCCGUCUUUAUAGUUUAUACUGCUUCUAACCGUUUCAAUCAGCUUACUUUGCAAUGACUAUGAUCUCUAUGAAAUCAGCUCUUCCUUUGCUUUUAUAAUUUUGAUUUAUUCGCCAGGCUACCAAACAUAAGCUUAGGUAUAUGAUUAUAAGAUGCAACAAAUCUUAGCUUUGGGAGUGAAGGUUCACCCUUUCCAGUUACCUUCCUUAGGGGCCGUAUACUUGGAGUCACGCAGUCUUUGGCAACACGGCCCUUCGAGUCCCCUGAUGGUAAUGAUUCUCUUCCUUUAUUCUUACAUGAAUUAACAACCUCUGCUAUCAUAAUUGCAAAUGUUCAGAUAGAAAGCUACGCAGAAAAGAAUAUAAUUUCGAUUAGACAUGCAUAUAUAUAUAUAUUAUAUUUCUUUCCACGGUGGUACUUCCAUGUUUUGAUUACAAAUCCAGACAGAAACUCAUGAGUACUUGACCAAAAAUACAUUCCACACAAAAGCUAAGAAAAGAAAUAUUCUGUUAGCAAAUCUGAUGCUACAGAUUUCUAUGCCAUGGCAUUGAUCAAUUUUAAUAAGUGUUCAUUCUUUCUUGCUGCAAAAAAAGCUAUGCUUACAAAAAAAAAGUCAGUUAGCAUACAUGAUGGUUACAUUUUUAGACCAAUUUCCUAAUCAAUAUGGAGGCUAUGAAUCUUCUUGCCACUUUCCCUCAAACAAAGUAAACUUUACUGGGAAUCAGAAUGAUGCAAAGAAAUAGCUAACACAGCAUUACUUUCAAGAUUUAAUCAGCAAGUUGCAGAGAUGCCCACGGAAAAAUACUACAGGUGGUUGGCAGGCUGCCGAUGACUGUGCAUGCAAGGAGGGGUGGUGCAGGGCAAGUUGCCCAAUCCAAUCGACGACGUUGUCGCCUUUGUAGUUGUCCUCGAGCGUUGGUAACCUCACGCUGCAACCCGGUGGCCAGGCUCGACGCUGCCAGGUGGGACUGCGAGACCAGCAGUAGAGGGCGAUAGCAGCGCUCGAGGACAUAAUCUCGAGGACAAACAUGGACAUGAUCCCGAACAAGGUGGUGGAAAACGUUAGAGGAUGGCCGCUGCUUUGCGAAGAUGCUCACACUUUUCACCGUUGGACAGGAACAUGCUGCUGCUGGGAAAAACAAGGGGCAGAUAGUUGCAGAUUGCCUGGAGAUGAACUUGCAAGCUUUGCAUAUGUUGUAGUGUUCCCCUCCUCUAGAUUAGCUUUUGAGUUGUUCUCUUAGAGAUUGUAACCGGAUGAUGUAUUAGAACUUUUUUGGUCGUA